rnacentral:rRNA from 1 species
CCUGACUAACCAUAAGAGGUCAAGCCUGCCCAGUGACAUUGUUCAACGGCCGCGGUAUCCUAACCGCGCGAAGGUAGCGUAAUCACUUGUUCUUUAAAUGAGGACUAGUAUGAACGGCUUCACGAAAGCUAUACUGUCUCCUUUAUCCAAUCAGUAAAACUAAUCUCCCCGUGAAGAAGCGGGGAUGUGUUUAUAAGACGAGAAGACCCUAUGGAGCUUUAAACAUCUUAAAACAAUUGAGUACUUUACUUCCAAAUUUCUGCAAAUUUUACUAAGCCCCUCAUUCUGCUUUAAGUUUUAGGUUGGGGUGACCCCGGAGAACAACCCACCCUCCACGUAGAAAGAACCUAUUUUCUAAGCAAAAAGCCACAUCUUUAUGCAUCAAAACAUUGACCUAAAUUGACCCA